rnacentral:rRNA from 1 species
AGUGAACGCUGGCGGUAGGCCUAACACAUGCAAGUCGAACGGCAGCACAGUAAGAGCUUGCUCUUACGGGUGGCGAGUGGCGGACGGGUGACGAAUACAUCGGAAUCUACUUUUUCGUGGGGGAUAACGUAGGGAAACUUACGCUAAUACCGCAUAUGAUGUACGGGUGAAAGCAGGGGAUCUUCGCGGCUUGCGCGACUGAAUGAGCCGAUGUCGGAUUAGCUAGUUGGCGGGGUAAAGGCCCACCAAGGCGACGAUCCGUAGCUGGUCUGAGAGGAUGAUCGGCCACACUGGAACUGAGACACGGUCCAGACUCCUACGGGAGGCAGCAGUGGGGAAUAUUGGGCAAUGGGCGAAAGCCUGACCCAGCCAUACCGCGUGGGUGAAGAAGGCCUUCGGGUUGUAAAGCCCUUUUGUUGGGGAAGAACAGCAGCAGAUUAAUACCCCGCUGUUCUGACGGUACCCAAAGAAUAAGCACCGGCUAACUUCGUG